AUAAUAGCAAAGAGGAUACACCUGUUCCCAUUCCGAACACAGAAGUUAAGCUCUUUAGCGCUGAUGGUACUUGGUGGGCAACUGCCUGGGAGAGUAAGA
rnacentral:rRNA from 1 species